rnacentral:rRNA from 1 species
AUGGCAACGAGCCAAGUGUCCUGCAAUAUGCUUGAACUGGAACAAAACGUUGGCAAUAUCGUACUAGGUUCUCAGUUGUCAUUGACAAUGAGCUCUGAGGAUACAGAGAAGGGCAAUAAUGAUGAGGAGGAAGUCGAAGGCGAAGCUGAGAAGAUGAAGAAAGAGCAGUCCCAGAAGGAGUCCAAGAAAAGGAAGGAAAUGGAGCCAAGGAGUAACAAGCUGCUAACUGUUGAAGAUACAACAUAUGAGGAGGACGACAUUAAGUGUGCACUCACUGCCUGGGGGUUUGAACCUGAGAAGAUGAGAUAUGCUCUUGCUAAAAUGAUAAUUAUGGAUGGUCUCCCAUUUGCAUUUUCCGAGAGACCAGGAUUCAGAAAGUUGAUGUCAAAGGCAUGUCCUUGGUUUAAUGUCCCAUCUAGGAGAACCACUAUUAGAGAUUGUGUCUCCAUUUAUUAUCGUGAGAAAGAGAAACUGGAGAAGUUCUUUAAAGAAAACUGUGAAAGAGUCAGCCUAACAACCAACACCUGGACAUCUAUGCAACAGCAGAGCUAUAUGUGUGUUACGGCUCAUUUCCUUGACACUGACUGGAAGCUACAUAAGAGGAUUAUUGGGUUCUUCUUGAUUAGUUGUCGUAAUGGGGAAGACAUUGGGAAGGACAUCGAGAGGUGUUUGGUGUAUUGGGGCUUAGAGAAAGUGUUCUCAAUAACUGUUGACGAUGCAUCAGCAAAUGAUGGCACUAUAAGUUACUUGAAGAUGGUUAUGAACAAUGCUAAAACCAGCAUCGCAGAAGGACAAUAUUUUCACAUGAGAUGUGCUACCCAUGUCACAAACUUGAUAGUUUCAGAUUUCCUAAGAGAGUUGGAUAUCCCAGUGCAGCGAGUCCGUGCUGCUGUCCGUUUUAUCAGAAAUUCUCCAUCUAGAAUUACUCGAUUUAAGAGGUGUGCUGACUUGGAGAAGGUGGACAGCAAAGCAUUCUUACCACUUGAUGUAUGCACAAAAUGGAACUCCACAUACCUAAUGUUGAAAACUGCAGCCACAUAUGAGAAGGUGUUCGAUAGGUAUGGCGAUGAUGACCCUUACUUUGCAACUGAGUUAAAUAGUGAGGAAGAGCCAGGAGUUCCUGAAGCUGCAGAUUGGGAGUAUGCAAGGAAGAUCUCAGAGUUUCUUGAGCCUUUUUAUAACCUCACUGUUCUUGUUUCAGCCUAUAAUCGUUGCACAUCUCACAUUUUUUUCCAUGAAAUUGCUGAUGUUUAUAUCUUGCUGAGAGAGUGGUGUGAGAGUACCGAUGCUUUGCGGAAGGAAAUGGCUGAAAGGAUGAUUGCUAAGUACAACAAGUAUUGGGGUGAUCAUGAGAGCUUCAACAUUCUGAUCUUUGUGGCAGUUGCUCUUGAUCCAAGGUACAAGUUGUCAGAUUACACAAGGUUUGCUACUUCUGAGAUGUUUGGUGAGGUCAAAGGAGAAGAAGUUUGGAAAAUGAUGAGUGAAACACUUGAUGACUUGUUUAAGGAGUAUGGCAAGAUGUAUGCUUCAAGUGAGAAGAAGGAAAUGGAAUCCGAUUUGGUGCAAGGCAUGAGCUUGAUGAGGUCCCUAAUUGCCAAGAGGAUGAGAAUGAACAACUCUGUGGUUGGUCCGACAAAGUCUGAACUUGAGAAAUAUCUUGCCGAGGAGACUGAAGCACACCCUGCCAAAUUUGAUAUUCUCCAGUGGUGGAAGGUCAAAUCUUCUAGAUUCCCAGUAUUAUCCCGGCUAGCUCGUGAUGUCUUGGCUGUCCCGAUAUCUGCAGUUUCCUCUGAGUUCGCCUUCAGCACUGGUGGACGUAUCCUUGACGAGUUUAGGAGCUCUCUUACUCCAUUCAUUCUCCAAGCACUCAUUUGUACUCAGGAUUGGAUGCUGGGAUCAGCUCCUGUAAAUGAUGAAGAGGAUACAGAGCAGUUGACCGAAGUAGUGGAAGAAUUACUUGAAGAAAUGGUUGGCCUCAACGUAGCUCUAGUGAUAAUAAUUCCAUCCCCGAUGAUGCAUGAUUCCGCAUCAUAUAAAUCUGGUUCGGAGCCUUGGGAAAUCUUGCUGCCUCGCAGAUAUGGAGAGAUGGAGUUGGAGUGA